AACGCACCUUGCGCUCUCUGGUAUUCCGGAGAGCAUGCCUGUUUGAGUGUCAUGAACUCUUCAACCCACCGGUUCCUUGUUGGAUCGAGCUGGUGUUUGGAUUUUGAGCGUUGCUGGCUUGAUCUUUUAGUGGUGAGAGCGAAGCUCGUUCGUAGUGUAUUAGCAUCUCAAUUACGAAACUCGGAUUGACUCAGCGUUAUAGACUAUUCGCUGAGGACACUAUACUUUAUUGUAUUCUGGCCGAAUUAGUUAACUGGAAGCUUCUAAUCUCCCACUAGUCAAAACUAUAAGAUUAGACCUCAGAUCAGGCAGGAUUACCCGCUGAACUUAA
rnacentral:misc_RNA from 1 species